GCAGCUGUGGUGUAAUUGUGAACAUGCCUCCCUCCCAAAAGGCGAUCCGGGUUCGAUUCCCGGCAGCUGCA
rnacentral:tRNA from 1 species